rnacentral:lncRNA from 1 species
UUUUUUUUUUUUUCCCACUGUACAGCAAGGGGGUCAGGUUAUCCUUACAUGUAUACAUUACAAUUACAGUUUUUCCCCCACCCUUUCUUCUGUUGCAACAUGAGUAUCUAGACAUAGUUCUCAAUACUAUUCAGCAGGAUCUCCUUGUAAAUCUAUUCUAGGUUGUGUCUGAUAAGCCCAAGCUCCCGAUCCCUCCCACUCCCUCCCCCUCCCGUCAGGCAACCACAAGUCUCUUCUCCAAGUCCAUGAUUUUCUUUUCUGAGGAGAUGUUCAUUUGUGCUGGAUAUUAGAUUCCAGUUAUAAGUGAUAUCAUAUGGUAUUUGUCUUUGUCUUUCUGGCUCAUUUCACUCAGUAUGAGAUUCUCUAGUUCCAUCCAUGUUGCUGCAAAUGGCAUUAUGUCAUUCUUUUUUAUGGCUGAGUAGUAUUCCAUUGUGUAUAUAUACCAGAUCUUCCGAAUCCAAUCAUCUGUCGAUGGACAUUUGGGUUGUUUCCAUGUCCUGGCUAUUGUGAAUAGUGCUGCAAUGAACAUGCGGGUGCAUGUGUCUCUUUUAAGUAGAGCUUUGUCCGGAUAGAUGCCCAAGAGUGGGAUUGCGAGUUCUCCCUUAACUUUUAAAUUCAACCUGAAAAUCUGGUUAUUCUUAGUAAAUGUUAACAGCAAUCACUUUUAAGUAGGCUUUUUAAGGUCUCUUAAAUACUUAGCAUUUAGAAUUUUGUAACUUCUAUUUCCUUAAGUACUCUAAGUUUGAUUAAUCAACAAAACUUCCCUGAGAAUUUAAACUCUUUUACAUCUAAUAAAUUAAACUUACUGGUAAUCUUAAAUUCUUUUAAAUGUCCUGAUACUUUAUACAACCAGACUUUAAAAUCUUCUACCUUUCAAGAUUAACCUAAUAAAUACUCUAAAAGGCCUAAUUUUUUUAAACAUCACAAGAACUUAAAAUACAAAGAUCACAAGGAUAUAUUAUGCAGCACAGGGAAUAUAGUCAGUAUUUUAUAAUAACUGGAAACGGAGUUUAAUCUUUAAAAAUUGUGAAUCACAGAGUCUCCUGGUGGCUCAGUGGGUUAAGAACCUGGCAUUGUCAUUGUCAUGGCUCUGGUCACUGCUGUGGCAUGGGAUCAAUCCCUGGCUAGAGAACUUACACAUCCUGUGGGGAGACAGCCCCCAAAAACCUGAAUCACUAUGUUGUACACCUGUAACUUAUAUAAUACUGUAAAUCAACACUCUACCUCAAUUAAAAAAAAAUAAGAGUGGAUAGUCUUUACCAGUAAGAUUGGGCAACUGUCAAAAAAAACCCAAAAAACAAAAAAAACACCUAGAUCAUUCUUAAGCCAUCAGAGCAUAUGCUUGAGUUACUAAUUCAUUCUACAUUUGCUUUUAUAUCUUCAUGCAGUUAAAACUUUGACUCACUGGUAAAAACUCUGCCUUCUCAGACAAGGUUGCCAUCCCAGGCACUGAAGUUAAUUAUCAGAGCCUCACAAAAGAAAUGAUCUUACAGAUGCAUCUCCCAGAUUCAAAUUACAGAUAACCUAAUUUUUCCAUCUACCACUAAGAUUAUCACUAAUUUUUACUACUACUUAGUUAAUUUUGCAUAUCUUUGGACAUCUUAUGGUCAUUCAGUUGGGUUCUCCAUCUCUCUCAAGUUUUGUGACUAUAGUCACAACACUAAAGUAAUCUUAACAAACAGGAUUAAUUUUUUACAGAGCAGAAGAAGCAAAUGCUUUAAAAAAUAGAUUUGUAAGAAGUGUGCGGUUAGUCAGUCUGUGAAAUAUAGCACUUUAUAGUCUCUUAAUAAUGCAUGUCCUCAACGGUUGAUUUUAAACAGUAAUUCAAUAACAAUAAGAUAGGACAGUGAAAACCUACACAUCUCUUCUUUACAUUCACUUCGAGAUUAUAUCUAUUCAAAGAUUCAUUAAUUUUUCUGUAUUUGCCUUUUUUUUUUUUUUGUCUUUUGUCUUUUUUUUGUUGUUGUUGUUGUUGUUGUUGCUAUUUCUUGGGCCGCUCCCGCGGCAUAUGGAGGCCCAAGAAAUGGCAAAAAGACCAAAAAAAAAAAAAAAAAAGAAAAAGAAAAAGUGGUAAAACUGUUCCAUUUUCCUAUGUUACUCUUAUGAAAAGGUAAAACAAAAUAACAUCCUCUGACAGAAAUCAUUACUCUAUUUGGCAAAAAUAGUUUGGCAGGCUGAUAUAACGUCUUAAGAUGCUCUUGAACAUAAAUGCUAAUUCCUCAUGGCCCUAACUGUAGUUGGAUUUUUAAAACACCUCUAAAGAAACCAUUUUAAAAGAUCAGUGUUAAUGACCGACCCACAACAAUAGCUAAUAUUUAGUAAUGUAUCAAUCACUGUUCAAAUACCUUUAAUAUAUUAACUCAGUUACAUCCUUACAAUAACCGGAUGAGGAACUAGCAUUAAUCGUUUUACAAAAGAUCAAAUGAGAAAAAGUAACUCACAGGGGCACAAAGCUAGUAAAUAGCAGAGCGGAGUUCCAACCCAAGAAGUUUGGGUUCCAGAGUCCACUCAGUUAACCAGUGCACAAAAGUAGCAGAGAGAUGGAAGCCAUAUACUACCCAGCCAUAUUACUUGAUGAUGUCAAAUUAUUAAAAUCCAUUUCUCUUUCCAUUAUUGUACCUCAAUAAUGCACACCAUGCUAGCUAUCUCCCAAUUUUUUCUUAGUACUUCAGGCACUUUCAUAUGCAGUCUCAUUUAACACUCAUAACUACGUAUGUCUUUGUAUACUCAAACAGUUAUGAUUCAUCACAAGUUAUUUUACAACAAAAACUAAAAAAAAAGUGUAGCAACGACCCAGGUUUCAAACUGUUGGGUUCUUUAGAACAUUCACUAUAACUUGGGAUCAGGAAAAAAAUGAACAAUUCAAAAAUAAUUUUAAAGUGUAAUCAUUUAGGAUCAAUGGCAGUUUUGUUUUGUUUUUUAAUUUUCAUCUUAAUUAGCCUGGUGGAAGAUAAGCUAAUUCUCCCAAGCAAAUGAAUGAUUAACAGACGUUUUUAAAGGUGGUGUUCAAAUAUCGACAACUUUAUCAUUUAUUGUUCUACCAUAGUGCCCAGUUUUUGACGUUGGACGGAUCUGCCUAGGUCAUGUGCUUCUACUUAAUAGUUGCAAGACUUUGGGGUAAAUUUUUUAAUUGAGUCUUGGGUAUCCUCUUGUGUAAAAUAAAGAUAAUGGCUACUGUGAAGGGCUGUUGCGGGCAAUAAACAGAUCAUUCCGUAAAGCGUUUAUUUAGCACCAUGCCCAGCCCAGAGAACAGUCAAUAUAUGCUAUCUAUAUACUAUUAUUUAACCAAUGUGUCGCACAGCAGAAACCCAUCUUUGCUAAAGUUCCCUUACCACCCUUUUAUAAAAUUACCCUAAAUGAUUUCCCCACACUGCCCAAUGACCCAUUCACCCCUCCCAAGCCGAGCAGAAUGUUUAAGAACACUUAAGACGGUUCAAUGAAAGUGCUUUCGCAAGGCUCUAGAACGCGCACACCCACACACACAGUUGUAAAGCAGAAACCACGCCUCCUGCGUGUGCCCUGGUCAGGUCGCACAGCCUGGCAGAGAAUGACCCAACCAGGGCUCCAAAUUCUGACAGAUGCGGACUCGUCCACGUGCUUGCUACCUGUGCUGCCUUCAGGGAAAUUAAAGUCUCUGAGCCUUGGUUUCCUGGUCUGCAAACCGAGAAUAAUAAUAGUACCUACCUCAUAAAGUUGUUCUGAGGCUUAACUGCGGUAGCUCCCACAAACCGUCGUCGACUUAACAGCUCUGCACACUGGCGGGGCUGUUUUAAGUACACGUGUAUCCGUACACAAGGUCUCAGACACAUUCCGUUGUUAAAGGAGCUUAGACACUGACAGUAAGAUGUUUUUCUUUUCGCUUAAGCUGUACCGUUAUUUGUUUUCCUGGAACACCAGAAUAAAUAUCUAUCGAAUGGCAUGUCAUCUAUGGACCCCUGGGCCCACAGUCCCCACGGUCCCUCCGCCUCGGCGGCUGAGCCUAAGGGCUGCACGCACGCGCAAGGAGAGAGGUUGCGACUGAGGAAGCGAAGCGAGAGCGGCGAACAAGCGACAAUUCUGCGCAU